CAAAAUCGAUGGCGGAAGUCGCCGGAACUGUUGACGUUUUAUACUGAUCUAAAAUGCGAUCGAUUUCGACCUCAUUCUGCCAAAUGUUCCUUUUCCAAAUACUUGCGAGCAGAAAUUGUUGUCUCAUUAUAGCAGAGUGUCAAAUUCACGCAUAUUGCGUGAAAUGUCUUGCUGAAAAAUGCUUCGGACACAGACGCUUCAUUCAGAACAGAUGAUGAUUCAUUCAUUCAUGAUUUGCAUGCACUGACCCACCACCUACAGUGUAUAGGCUACAAUACAUGUACAUAUGUACAUGUAGGGCCUAGCAUGCGAGGCCCUACAUGCAAUGUACAUUAUAGCCCUGUUAGUGGUGAAGCCUGGCCACCAUAGGCCUAAAGGCUUUGAAAUGUCCACACUGAAUUCAGUCGAAAUCCACUGCCGAGACCAGAAGGCCUACUGGUCUGACUGGUCACUCGUCGUGAGACUGUUCAUUCAAUCUGGACGUUUUGAUCUGGCAGUCUGGAUUGGUCAGUGUCUGAAUUGUCUGCAGUCUUAUUGAUAGUUGUAAGUUUUGCAGUGUAGUUUGCCUGAGACAUAUGAUCAUCCAGGACCACCAGGUCCAGUCAGUGUUCAGUAGUGUAGCUUAUUUAAUUUUAUGUAUUUGGAAAGAGAAGUUCGUUCUGUGGAUGCUUUCUUGGAUCCUUCCUGUCCUCUACUAAAUGUCUUUAUGAUUAUCUACCAACUCUGUAUUUUUAACUGGUUAAUAUCGAAUGAAAUGGCCGGGUCGAAAUUGAGUACUCUUGUAGAUUACAGUGAAUAACAGUACCUGGUACAUUAUCGAAUUGAUAUAUCGGAUCUCAGUAGGGUCUCCCCAUGAUCCUUUCCUUUUGCAACACAAUGCUUGCCUGCAUUAACAAGAGUGGUAGGCCUAGAUAGAUGGAAAUUCUAUAAUGCAUAGGGUUAAUUCUAUAAUUUUGACGAAAGUAGGGGGGGGGGGGGUCAUAAUUGGUAGUAUUGAUAGUAUUGAAAAGUCUCACAACAGGAUGUACCAAGAUUAAUUGCUGGUUUUUCAACCAUAUGCUAGCGAUAGUGCGCAGCAGUGGUUGUUGAAUGAUUGUGGUUGAUGAAUCUUUUUGUUCCAAAAUUUGUUUUAUUGAUUCUAAAUUGGCUGCUAGUGCUACAAUUAAAUUUGCACAGGAUGUUGAAAAUACUCCAAAAACUGCAAACCAUUCCAUUACAUGUCUGUCUGUGACACUGUGACAGACAAUCCGCUGAGAAGGGGGUGGUGCUUUUGGACUACAACGUUUUUUGUGUCCAUUUUGUGGGAGUUGAUGGUGACCUAGGUUUUUUUCUUUUUUUUGUAGAAUUGAAUCCUGAUCAAACCAAGAAUUACUCUAUGGAAGCAUGUCAGUAUUGACUGGCUGGCCUGUUGUCAUCAAUUACUAGUACUUAGUAUACGUAAUACCACCAGAUUAAGCUUAAAGUAUGGCAACCUUCAUUUUUGCAUGAUUUUCAUUUCAUUUAGGACUACAUCUAUUUUCAGAUGAAGGCAUUGAUGAGGAGGCAUUUUGUAUGUUGGACGAUGAAAUAAUAAAGGAGCUGAUUCCAAAAAUUGGUACCAGAAUGAAGUUUGCAAGGAAGUACCGCAAUCUACUACUAUGUAAUAGUCAUGAUAGUAGUCUUGGGGUAAGGAUACCAGUGUUGAAGAUGAUGUUAAUGAUGAAAGUGUUGUGGAACAGAGUGUAGUUGCAAUGCAACUUCUACCGAUCAUGCUGCCCCCCAGGCCAACAAAAGGUCAUAGACCAUCCGUGACUGAGGCAAUGUCAUCGUUCAUACAGUUCAAGCAGGUGACAACAAAUAUCCCCUCAUUCCUUCAGGACCUCCCAAGUGGAGCUGUGCAGCCCUUCGUGUUGGCUCUUGGGGAUAGAACCUCUCCAACUCAGGCAUUUCUUAUCAUUGAGGUGAACGCUUUAGAAUAUCCGACACUGCUGAAAGCCGUUGAGGCCUGUUUUAGGCUUUGUAUGUUCCUGACUUAGAAUAUCCUACUGGACUGCAUUAUUGUGUGGCAAUUCAUUGAGGACUUUGGUGAUCUCUGAUGAAUUUCUGUUGUAAAUACAUGUAGAUGUUAAUCAGACUAAAUCUGCUAGAGUAUAAAGAGGAAGAUCCUUUGAUAUUUGCAAAGGUCUGGGCAUUUAUAGUGUGAGGAUACAUGUAUCUUGGGAUUACCGUAUAGGGGCAAUGUAUCAAGGGGUUAUUCUCCUGAAACAGUUUUACUGUUUUCAAAUUGAAUGAAUGUGAGUAAUGAAUUGUUAACUUAAUUGAUAGAUUUCUGCUUAGAUGCAAUUUGAAUGUCAUGAAUUGAAAACUAUAGUUAAUGAUAAAUUUAUGUUGCAAAUACAUGUAGAUGUAAUCAGACUAAAUCUGCUGACUUCUACUUUAGAUUCAAUUUGAAUGUAUGAAUUGAAAACUAUAGUAGUAUAAAGAGGAAGAUCCUAUGAUAUUUGCAAAGAUCUGGCCAUUUAUAGUGUGAGUAUAUCUUGGGAUUACUGUAUAGGAGGCAAUGUAUCAAGGGGUUAUUGUACUGAAAACGUUUUACUGCUUUCAAAUUGAAUGAAUGUGAAAUGAAUUGUUAACUUAAUUGUCAUUGAUAGAUUUCUACUUUAAAUGCCAGUCACAAAUUUGAAUGUAAUGAAUUGAAAACUAUAGUUAAUGAUAAAUUUCUGUUGUAAAUACAUGUA